GUACCUUCAAGCAUUGCUAGCCGGCGCUUGAGGAGAUUAGGUCAAAGGUCACAAAGUUUCGCCAGGUGAGCCGGCGGCAUGUUUAGAUCGUGUUUCGAUGGAGUUCCAGACGGAUUUUACUAAAUUUAGCUGCUUUUCAGCUAAAGCGAGGAGGCUCGGUGCUGGAUGUCGAGCUUGUCCAGGCGAUUAACCAUGGCCAGAUCUGACAUAUUCCUCCUGCUGAGGGACUGGUGCAGAAGUUCAAGGGAACUGCAGACAUGCUGAAGUUAUAAAACGUUAAAAAAAAUACAGAUGCAUAUCAACAUAAUUUACCCAAAUGGCCGUUUUUGUGUCCGGCCCACGAGUGAAAACAGCGCUCUGUAGAAGUGGUGUUACGCUUGAGGACCUGGACUUCAUGGUAAAGAGUUGUUAUAAUGUUCGCAGCGUUUCCAUAUGGGCAAACUAUAUGGUAUUUGCUGUUUUUGUUUCCUUCAGUCAAGGAAACAAUCGCGCUCAUAACAAGUGUUGAUGAACAAACUAAAGGAAGUCUCACAUACACACAAAGUCAUGCAACAAAUUCUGUAUAUAACUUUAUUCUGGCUCUUAUUUUAAGCAUAAAUGUUGGAAAAUUGACGGACUGUGCUUCUUGUAUUAUUGUCUAAACCCUGCUAUAUUAGCCAUGACUUGCAUGCGGCAAACAUGUGAGCAUCAUGUAUGUACAUGUAAGAGGGCAGCCUUCAUUUUAGAAUUGAUAUUGUUCUUUUUGCCAUUUUAUUGUUCAUGUUUGCCAAAUUUGUGGCAGUGUAUGUUAGAAUGAAUGUAAGAAUGAAAUUCAUAGUCUGUAGUAUUACCCAUUGUCUUCUCUU